UGGCGGGUAGCUCAGUUGGUAGAGCCCCGGAUUGUUAAUCCGGUCCGCGCAGGUUCGAGCCCUGCCCCGCCAG
rnacentral:tRNA from 1 species